rnacentral:rRNA from 1 species
GACGAUCGCUGGCGGCGUGCUUAACACAUGCAAGUCGAACGGUGAAGCCCUUCGGGGUGGAUCAGUGGCGAACGGGUGAGUAACACGUGAGCAACCUGCCCCUGGCUCUGGGACAACCACUGGAAACGGUGGCUAAUACCGGAUACGACCCGCCUCGGCAUCGAGUGUGGGUGGAAAGUUUUUCGGCUGGGGAUGGGCUCGCGGCCUAUCAGCUUGUUGGUGAGGUGAAGGCUCACCAAGGCGACGACGGGUAGCCGGCCUGAGAGGGCGACCGGCCACACUGGGACUGAGACACGGCCCAGACUCCUACGGGAGGCAGCAGUGGGGAAUAUUGCACAAUGGGCGAAAGCCUGAUGCAGCGACGCCGCGUGAGGGAUGACGGCCUUCGGGUUGUAAACCUCUUUCAGCUCCGAAGAAGCGAAAGUGACGGUAGGAGCAGAAGAAGCACCGGCUAACUACGUG